AGGCUGCCUCUCUUGCCGCUGAGC
rnacentral:siRNA from 1 species